UGGUUACCCAAGCUAAUCAGAAGAGGUAGAGAACCUAUUCAGUUUAGGAUUACAAAUGCAAUACGGUGUUUCUCUAAUACAAUACUCUUGACCACAUUGUUUGGUUUGAUAGUUUAUUCAUGUCUACUAUCCAAUGUGAUUUGUGUGCUUAUAUGAUUACCUUGAAUGUGAUUUGGAACGACUUUCCUAAAUCUCAUUCAUACUCUGGCCAGAGAUUCUAAAUCAUAUCAUAGAGUAUUCUCCCCCAAACGGUUUGAAGGUUAGAGAUCCCUUGUUGCGCAUUCACUUGCCUCCAUAGCUAAGUGGCUUAACCCCAACGAUGCCGUGGACACCCGCGGAUGGGGUGACUUUGACAUAAUCAAAGAUCAAGGACUUAACCACAAGACAAACGUGAUGCUCAGGUCAAAGGACUACUUUGCAUUAUCCCAACCAUGAGUUCUCAUGUGACAUGAAUAUGAGAACUCUACGUACUUGUCUUGAUGUCACACACACCAAUGACUCGAGACUAGUCACUCUCCCUGAGAGAAUACACAGCACGUACUGAUCUUAACGGACUGUCAAUGCCCAAAUGGCAAUCGUAUGAUCAGGAACGUUUAGGAUGUGUCUACAAAAGAAUGGUCUCAUGAAUCUAACUUCUUUAGAACGCAUUCUCCCAAUCACAUAUUCCUUGGACUUAUCGUUUAAGCAUAUAACAUUUAUAUGAGACCGCUUAAAGAAUAAUCUUUGCCCUUGAUAUUAAACUAGAUUAGUUUAACAUGUGAAAUGUCCGUAAAGUAUCAUCAUAUGAUUGGUUUUACGGCACAUUUCCAACAAUCUCCCACUUGCACUAGAGCCAAUCAGCUUGGUCAUCAAUGAUGAUACCUCUUCUGUAGUCAUUUCAUAAAUGGCUGAAUAGUAGGCCUAGACAAUGGAUAUCUAUAUGUUAUCCAUAGAAGCAACCUUGAGAAUAACGACGUCACCAUUAUACAUGAUUCUCAAUCAUGUGGUUCAGUCUCUCAUUUGAGUUUGGACCUUGAUGAGACCUUGAUUCCCUGGCUUGAGCUAUCGCCCCAUUAGUGUCAUAGUGUCAGUAAACUAGAUACACUUUCUGGUUGGAACCGAAUAGAGAGUUCAUAAAUGAACUUUCCCAUCCAAACAACAUUGUUGUAAGCUUCUAUAUGGCAAUAUAUUUUGCAUUCAUAAUGGAACACACUAAAGUCAUUACUUUAAUGGUUCCAUCCAAAUAUCUCUUUAGUCAUAAUAAAGAGAUAUCCGUUUAUAUCUUCAUUCAUAAUGAAGAAACAUCCAAUGAUGGAUUAGAUUCAUAAUCUAAUACAUUUACGCUUCCAUUACGUUACUCUAAUUCUUCCUCGAUCUUUGAGGAAUUUAUCCUUUAGUAUUUCUUAAAUACUAAAGGACUCACUUGACAGUUGCCAUGGUUCUGAUCCUGGGCUUGCACUGAUAUCGUCUUGUACCGUUCUAGGUACAACUCAUAUCAAUGUUUUUCAUACAAUAUGAAAUACAUAAAUCCCCUUUAUGCGUAUGUAUAAAGGAUUCUAUUUACGCAUUAUUUCUUUGGGAGUCAAAGAGUACGUUCUCUUUGAGAAGAGCAACUUCUUAGUCUCACUAGAGUUGUCCUUCUAAUUGAAGUUUAUCAUCAUAUGAGAAACUUCCUAGCAUCUAUUGUCUAUUAUUAGGGAUUGAUAUAAUCCAAUUAUAUCAUGAAAUAUAUCAUUAUAGAUUUUCAUCCCAUGUAUAUAGACUAUAUCUCCCAUAUACAUUCUAUCUUCAUAUAUUGUUUUAAAGUCAUAACUUUAAAGAAGAAGUAUCCUUUUCAUUUCCAAAAUUAAUAUAUCAUAUAUAUUUAAAUUUUAGGAACAUGAUUAACUCCCAUAUACAUUCUAUCUUCAUAUAAUGUUUCAAAGUCUUAACUUUAAAGAAGAAGUAUUCUUUGCAUUUCCAAAAUUAAUAUAUCAUAUAUAUUUAAAUUUUAGGAACAUGAUUAACUCCCACUAACCUUUUGUAAACCUAGUAAACAAAAGAUUCAUUUACAUCUUUAUGAGAAAUCAAAUGAUUUGAUCCUUUUCUCAUAAGAUGCUUAUAGCUCCCACUAGCUUGCUAAGAUUCAUGAUGGAUGGAUCUCUACAACUUAUAUGUCUUGUGAUUCAUAGUUUUAGACAUAUAUAUUAUCAAGACUAUCUUAAUAAUGGUUUCGGAAACCCAUAUAAUGUCCAAACAUUGAAUCACCAUUUAGUUGUAGCUAGCUAUCUUCGAAUUAAUUGAAACCAAGACUACGUCAAAAAUGGUUUCUUCAAAGUCAACCAUCCUUUUGAUUGUAGUUACCUUAAGCUACCAUUAGCUUAUGAAGGUUUCAUUAUUUCGGGUCAAAUGGUACUUUACCAUUUCCUUGAGUAUAUAUCGUAUAUACACUCAAUGUAGUCAUAAGGAUUUUCAUUCUUAUUUCUUUCGAAUUAAGAGGUGCAACUCUAUGACAUAGUCAUAAAGUUCAAACCAUUCAACUUUGACGGUUUAUAAAUCCUUCUCGACUACCUUGGAGCUUUUGGUAUAGGAACUAGGUUGUUUAUAUUUGUUGAUUACUUUCUUGUCUCUCAAAGAACCCAUUCUUUGAGUUCUAUCUCUCGUUCAUUUGCUUUUAGGCAAAUCACAUUGUAGGAUUACAAUGAACUACCCAACAAAACAACAUUUGUUAGUUGGUUUAUAGAAGCGAUAUCCAAAAGUUAAUUUAAGGAUAUCCCACAAGAUUGUUAUCAAACAAAUAUUGCUUAUUAGCUCACAACCCCAAAUCUUAACAUGCUUAAGAUUUGUCUUUCUUUCCAACUACAUCUUAUGGAGUCAUGAAAAAUUUGGAAGAUCUUCUAAUUGACAAUCAUAUUGUUUUUAGAAGUAUAUAUCCUAUAUAUGGGUAAUAGAUAACAUCCAACGAACUAAAUCUUAUUUAAGUUCGUUCUUCUCCUUAUGUAGAAAUCUAUUAUCUUAUGAUGCUUAUUUCCUUGAUAUCUUUCAAGGAAAUUGUUCUAAAGUGUUACCUUAUCUUGGAUCAAAUCUAAGGAGGUAAAUACUUUAGACGUCUUACUCAUCAACUUACAUUACUUGAAUUCUUUGAAACAUUUUGCAAAGUAUUCGGAUUUGUGUUUAUUCAAAAUAAACUAUAGUCCAACCGAGAGUGAUCUUCGGUGAAUGUCAUAUAACAUGAGUAGUAUUAUGUUGUGGACAAGUGCCAACAACAUCUAAGUGAAUUAACCUCAACAACUUUGUGAUUCUUUCUUCUUUCCAAAAAAAUAAAGAUUCGAACAUUUCGCCUCUAUACAAUUUUAAAAGGAAGGUAUUGGAUCCGGAUCUAACGAUCCAAAGCAUCCAUCUUUCACCAACUCGUAACUUAUGUUUUAGAGGUAUCAGAAUUUAGUUGGGAUUAGUCACUACCUUGCAACCUUUUUCGGUUUUAAGCAUCAUUUUAUUCUAAACAGUUAACACCACCAUAUUAUCUCUACUAUAGAGACAAUCAAUUAGAUUACUAUAAUUCAAUCAUUGAUUAAUAAAGAACAAUGUUUUGUCAAACAAAACAUUCAUCCAUCUCUACUAUAGUGACGGAAUUAAGUUCCUUAAAAUUGGAAUGUAAAGACAAUCUUUGGUUUUUCCAAUUUCUUUGGUAGUUCAUAUGAGGAAGUAAGUACUAUCUGCUUUCGUAGAGAUCUAUAUUUUAUUCACGUUCCGAAUGUGAAGCACCUUUUUCUUCUCUCAUAUAUCUUCUACUUCUUAUUAGUCACACUUUUACAACGAUUGUAAAACAUAGUUGCUAAUACGGAAUCAAGCAUUCAAGUAGAAGAACCAACUGUUUUGAACUAUUCAAGAACAAUUUACAACACCUUCGAAAGGUGUGUUCUUGAUACUUGCAAGACAUUUCUUGCAAAUACCCCUUCCAAUGUCCAUCCUUUCAUAAAGAAAGUUUGUUCCCUUGGAGUUAAUUUUAUCUUCUUCAUUUGACUUUCACCUUUGACUACAUUAGUCAUGGUCCCUAAACUCCCACUAUCUCUCUUGAAACUUAUUUCAAUUGUGUUAUACACAUCAAACGAUUUUGGAGAGUAUGUGUUUAUUGUUCACUAUAUAGUUUACAAUAAACUUAGUGAACCAUUAGGAUAGGGACAUAAAGGUGAAGUCCUAGCCUAGUCUCCGUCUCGUUAAAUGGUUUAUCACUUCAACACUCAAUGAUUCAAAAUCAUCAUAAGUCCAUGUUGAUGGACUAUUUUUGUCAACCAACCAUUAUGUUCUAAACAUAAUUACAAACUUUCAAGAGUUGUACAAGGCAACUCUCAUUUCUUCAUACAACAAUUUGUAAGUGAAGAAUCAUGGCACAUAAAGUGUCCAUGCCAUUGUGCUUUCUUCUCAAGUUCUUUGUUCAUUUAACAAAGAAACAAGCACUAGUGUUUGCAUUGACUAAGGGUUGUUCAAAGCAACUCUUAUUUCUUCAUACAACGAUUUGUAAUUGAAGAAUUAUGACAUUAAAAGUGUUGUCCUCUUUAUGAUAGACUUUUUCUAACAUAUUCUUCUAAUGAUACAUUAUCAAUAGGAAGAUUGUGAGGAUGAGAGACUACUUAGGUACAUUUACAAGCCAUUAAAGACAAUCUAUUGGUUUUGUAGUACCAAGUCCGGAAACUAAAGCUUUCGGCUUUUAUUUGUCAAGUGUUGGAUAGCGUUUGCAAAUAUAUUGGUAAAUAAAUACAUAACGAAUAUAAAUUGAUUGAUUUUAAGCCAUUUGAUCCGGGUCUUUAAAUCAAAUAGCACCACCCACUAUUUUUGGCAAAUUCCAUAUCCCUCAUUGGAAUUCGAGAGUUUUGGAGGAAACUCUUAGUAGGGUAUGGGAGACUCACUACUACCAAGCCCACCUCACAAUGAUAUGAUGUUGGCUAGCAUUAAUAAUAAUGAGAGAGUACGCUUACUCAUUUGCAUCUCUUGCAAGUACCCAUCUUAUUUGGCCUCUAGAGAAUGUCACCUCACAAUGAUAUGAUGUUGGCUCCAUUGCACUUAGUUAAGUCAUUCCCACCAUGCUUAGUUCAUGAAGGGGUUCAAGAAUAGCCUCACAAUGAUAUGAUGUUGGCCAUCCUCGUUGCCUACACUCACCUCAUCAAGUAUGUAUAUAGACUCCUCCUGAGUGUAAGCACGCACUUUGUACUCCCCCAUGAUAGGGUGAAGCCGGUGUACGAGUCACAAACGAUCGAAGCCUACCACGGUGGAAGGCCACGAAAGAGUGUUCAAAGCACUCUCACACUUGUCAACUUAAUAAUGGUUUGGUUGAGGGUUUUAGGUCUCAUCACAUAUAAACAUACAUUUUAAUCUCUAUUAAAACAAUUUUGGUCCUAUUACAACUAUUGGUCCAUAUGAUUGUUUUUAGUUGUAUAUAAUACUCCCACUAUGCUUAUAAAACGUUUUUAAAGCAAGAGUAUAUGAUACUACUAACAUAACCUUUGCAUUCAUUUGAUGGACUAUAUAGUUGCCUUAGGGCCUUAGGAUGACUAUGAACCUUUGUUUAGAUUCAACACGAGCCUUGUGUUGAAUCUCGGUCUAGGGAUGGUGAUUGAUUUUAGUUACGCGUUUAAUCACAUUAAGGCGUGUUGUCUUAGGGCGUUGGACCCAACUACUUCAUUUUCAUGCAUAUCAAAUAAAGCAAGAAAGAAGUACUUCAAAGUAAAGGCGAGCUUAUGCUCAUUACAACAUUUGCAUAAUACAAAUUACUUUAAAGUAAAGAAGAGCUUAAGCUCUUUUACAACAUUUGAUCAAAUCAAAUUACAACCAAAAUCUAAUCUACACAUUCCCAUGGUUCAAACAAAUUUGAAACGGCCUUUCACAUAGCUCAAUUAUCGUAGGCUUAGGUUCAUAAGCACCCUUUAAUUAAUUAACACUUUAACUAAUUAAAUUUGAAUGCAACAUUUUCAUUUGGUUUUUGUAUCCAUAAAAUUGAUUUAAAUGGAGCUAAACAAAAUGAAAAUCCAAUUCUCAUUUAAAGAGACAAAACAAUUUUGUUCUCUACCUAAUUUGGGCCAUAAAGCAAUUAACCUCAACUUUUGGGCUAUAUUGCAAAAACAUAAACUUUUGGGGUCACUUUGUAAAAACACAAAAGUCCACUACUUCAUGUAAAUACAACUAGAACCCAAAAUUUAAACAAUGCAAAAACUUCAUUAAAGGAACAAAACAAUUUGUCCUUUAGCGUUUUUGGACCUAAACGUAAAAACGUAAACUUUUGGGCCAAAGUGCAAAUACACAAAAGUAUCAAAACUUUAUGUAAUUGCAUAAAAGCCCCAAAAGUACCCUACAUGUAGGGUGGCCGGUUUUGGAGAGGAAAGGAGUGAUGUGUGUGUUGAUUUGUGAGUUUUGACAUAAAGCAAGCAAGUUGUGCAAGUGGUGUGUGUGAAAGGGAAUUAAUCCUUUCACACCCACCAUUAUUUCUACCACCAUUUAAACAUUUUAAAAAACAUAAAACAUAAACUUUAUGAAAUAAAAAUCAAAACUUUGAAUCAAAACACAAAACCUUUUUGUUCUUGGCAAAAAUGUCAAGAACAAUGAAGAACAUUCAUGAAAAAACCCAAAAAAUUUCCAUGAACAUUUUUACUCCAAAAACAUCCCAAAACCAUUCAAACUUUAGGGAAAUAACAUAUAACCAAACUAGGGUACAUAGGGGUUCCAAAAGUCACUUGAAAACACUUUUAACAAGUCAAACAAGAACCCAAAAAAUCCACCCUUUGGAUUUGGCCGAAAAUUCCCAAAAGCAUGGCACCAAAUUUUAGCUCCAAUAUUCAUGCUCAUAUGAACUACAUCUACAACAUUUGAGAUGGCAAAUUUUCUAACAAAAUUUACAUUCAAAGAAACAAGAAUAAAGCUUGUAACAUAUUACAACUUUUAAAUCACAAACUAUGAACUACAAAACCCAAAAGGAUUCACCAACUACUAGACCUAGGCUCUGAUACCACUUGAAGGAUGAUUUUGUGAAAACAUGUUCAUUUGAAUAACAUCUAUAGCAUGCAUUUAACAAUUAAAAGGCGGAAUCAUGCUUGCAUGCAUUCAAAAACAAAACAUUACCCAUGAAAUUCAAAGCCUAGUAGAUUGGUGAACCAAGACUCAACUCAAAUCAAAGUGAGUUGAGAAAUUUAUACCUUUGUAGAUUCCUCUUUGCAUAAGCAAAGGCUAAUCACCCAAGGAGAGGGCCUUCAUUCCUUGCUUCUUAGAUCCAUGGAUUUGGAUGGAAGAAUAUGGUUCUCCAAGUUCCCAAAAUUGAGAACCUCUAAGUGUCUACACCAAGGUUAGAUUGGAGAAGAAAUGAGUGACCUUGGAGGAGUGGGAUUGCUAGAUACACCCUCCAAGGGGGCCGGCCUCCUAGAGAGAAAAGGAGAGACAUGUUCUCUCCAAUUUUCUCCAAAAGAACCCUUAAUGAAUUUUAGGCUAUAAAGUUCUUUAUAUAGUCACUUCUUAAAUGACCUAAAGAACCAAAAACCCUAAUUCAACACACAUGGCCGGCCACAUAAGGGAUUUGGGCUUUUGGGCCUUUGUGAAUCUUUAUUCAUUAAAUUGUCAUACAACUUAAGUCAAUGGGCUUGACGUUCGAAGCCCAUUGGGCCUUAAGGUCCAAAACUAUCCCGAGGUCUUUAACGAACUUAUUCGUUUGAUUAAUUAACAUAUUAAUUAAUCCUUGCCAUAAAUAAUUAAACCAUUUAAUUAUUCUUACUCAUCUCCAUUGUUUCUUCAAUCUCCACCUUUACACGGUGUACGAUCCAUUAGGUUCCUUUUAGCGAGGCAGUGGGCGAUUAGAACUCUUUCAAAUCGAUUGUGAAUUGAAACUUACUUUCAAUUCUCCCUUUAGUGUUUAUACACGUUUAGGGCUUCCACAAACCAAGAGUGACACCUAGCAGCAUAUCAUGGUUACCCAAGCUAAUCAGAAGAGGUAGAGAACCUAUUCAGUUUAGGAUUACAAAUGCAAUACGGUCUUUCUCUAAUACAAUACUCUUGACCACAUUGUUUGGUUUGAUAGUUUAUUCAUGUCUACUAUCCAAUGUGAUUCGUGUGCUUAUAUGAUUACCUUGAAUGUGAUUUGGAACGACUUUCCUAAAUCUCAUUCAUACUCUGGCCAGAGAUUCUAAAUCAUAUCAUAGAGUAUUCUCCCCCAAACGGUUUGAAGGUUAGAGAGAUCCCUUGUUGCGCAUUCACUUGCCUCC
rnacentral:lncRNA from 1 species